rnacentral:rRNA from 1 species
AGAGGGUGCAAGCGUUAAUCGGAAUAACUGGGCGUAAAGGGCUCGUAGGCGGUAGAGUAAGUUAGAGGUGAAAUUUCCGGGCUUAACCUGGACAGGUCCUCUAAAACUGUUUUACUAGAAUAUAGGAGAGGGAAGUGGAAUUUUCGGUGUAGCGGUGAAAUGCGUAGAUAUCGGAAAGAACACCAGUGGCGAAGGCGGCUUUCUGGCCUAAUAUUGACGCUGAGGAGCGAAAGCGUGGGUAGCGAACAGGAUUAGAUACCCUGGUAGUCCACGCCGUAAACGAUGAGAACUAGGCGUAUGACAGCUACGGUUGUUGUGUGCUGCAGCAAACGCAUUAAGUUCUCCGCCUGGGGAGUACGACCGCAAGGUUA